rnacentral:tRNA from 1 species
UCCCUGCUGGCUCAGACAGUAAAGAAUCUGCCUGUAAUGCAGGAGGCCUGGGUUCAAUCCCUGAGUGGGGAA